rnacentral:snRNA from 8 species
AUACUUACCUGGCAAGGGAGACACCGUGAUCAAGAAGGCGGUUCACCCAGGGCGAGGCUCAGCCAUUGCACUCCGGCUGUGCUG